rnacentral:lncRNA from 1 species
UUUUUUUUUUUUUUUUUUUUUUUUAACUUGAGCAAUAGGACAAAUAGUAAUGCCAUUUGCUGAGAUAGAGCCUGGGGGCUGAGGUGGGGGGUGGUCAGGAGGAGAUUUUGGUGGAGGAAAAAUGUCCAGUUCUACCUUAAACAUGUUAAACUGGAGAUGCCUAUCAGAUUUCCAAAUGGAGCUAAUGAGUAAACAACUGAAAUACGAAUCUGAAGUUCAUAGGAAACAAUAUGUGGUGUAAAUUGGGGAGGUAUUAAGGUAUAAAUGGCAUCAAUAGCCACUGGAUGGGGAGCACUCACUUAGUUAAUGUGGAAGAAAAGAGAAGCAGACUAGAGACUAAGCCCUCUAAUCCUGAGACAUUCCAACUAGUAGAGGUCAGAGAGAAAGAAAAUCCAACAAGAUUUAUUUAAAAGGAGCAACAGGAGUUCCCGCUGUGGUGCAACUGGAUUGCUGGUGUCUUGAGAGCACUGGGAGGAAGGUUUAAUCCCCUUCCAGACACAGGGGGUUAAGGAUCCAGUAUUGCCACAGCUGCAGCUUAGGUGGCAACUGUGGUUUGGAUCUGAUCCCUGGCCCGGGAACUCCAAAUGCCGGGAGGUGGCCAAAAAAUAAAAAAAGUAAUAAAAGGAGCAACAAAGAAAUAGAAUUUAAAAGCAAGCAAACAAAAAGGGAUCUUAGAGAACAAAAUUUUCAAACAUUUUAAGAAGGGCACCAUAGGAGUUCCCGUCAUGGCUUGGCAGUAAUGAAUCCGACUAACAUCCAUGAGGAUGGGGGUUCAAUCCCUGGCCUUCCUUGGUGGGUUAAGGAUCCAGCAUUGCCAUGAGCUGCAGUGUAGGUCACAGACGAGGCUUGGAUCCCACGCUGCUGUGGCUGUGGCUUAGGCUGGCAGCUGCAGCUCUGACUGGCCCCCUAGCCUGUGAACUUCAAUAUGCCCCGGGUGCGGCCCUAAAAAAGACAGAAAAAAAAAGGGCACUAUAAACUGUCAUUCCUGUUUAAGAGUUUGAGGAUAAGAUGCCUGAAAAUAGACCACUGGAUUUUGAAACAUGGAGGUAAUUUGAGACCUUGACAAGAGUGACUUUACAGAGGAGCUAUGUAGAUAAAAGCCUUCCCAUCUGUGGUCCGGCAUGUGCAGCAUAUGGAGGUUCCCCGGCUAGGGGUCUAAUCGGAGCUGUAGCCGCCGGCCUACACUAGAGCCAUAGCAACGCGGGAUCCGAGCCGCAUCUGGGACCUACACCACAGCUCACGGCAACGCCAGAUCGUUAAUGCACUGAGCGAGGCCAGGGAUCGAACCUGCAACCUCAUGGUUCCUAGUGAGAUUCGUUAACCACUGAGCCACGACGAGAACCCCGAGCUUCUCUCCUUCGUUCUACAUGUUCUUCCAAAGUGAUCUUAUCCAUUCUCAUAGUCUAAACUUCCAUCCACAUAAUGAUGAUUCCCAAGUCUUUAUUUCCAAACCAGGCUUCUCCUUCAAGCUUUAGACUGACAUACCUGGUAGCCAAUGGCACAUUUACUUAUUUAUUUGGCUGCCCUCACAGCAUAUGGAAGUUCCCAGGUGUGGCCAUAAAAAGAAAAGAAAAAGAAACCCAGUUCUUUUAAGUUAUCACCCCCCAUCUUCCCAUCCCUAUCCAGCUCUAAGAAACUACUAAUAUACUUUGUCUCUGCAGAUUCCCUAUUCUGGACUUUGGUAGGAAUAGAAUCAUACAGUAUGUGGCCUUUCAUGACUGGCUUAUUUCACUUAGCAUGCUUUCAAAGUUCAUCCAUUUAUCAGUACUUCAGCCGGUGUCAGUACUUUAUUCUUUUUUACAGCCAAAUAUUUAAAUUCCAUUGUAUGGACAUACAAAUGGGUUUGUCCAUUCAUCUGUUGAUGGACAUUAGGGUUGUUUCUACCUUUUGGCUAUGAUAAAUAAUGCUGCUAUAAACAUUUGUGUACAAGUUUGUGUGUGGACAUGUUUCAUUUCAUUUCUCUUGGGUAUACAACUGUGAAUGAAACUGCUGGGUCAUACAGUAAAGUCUACAUUUAACCAUUUGAGAAACUGGCAGACUACCUUGCUUUUCUUCUUCUUCUUUUUUUUUUUUUUUUUUUUUGGUGUGUGUGUGUGUCUUUUUGGGGCUGCACCUCUGGCAUAUGGAAGUUCCUAGGCUAGGGGGUUGAACUGGAGCUACAGCUGCCGGCCACAGCCACAGCAACGCAGGAUCCCAGCCACGUCUAUGACCUAGACUGCAGGGAUCCUUAACCCACUGGGUAGGGCCAGGGAUUGAACUCCUGUCCUCGUGGAUAUUAGUCGGGUUUGUUACCACUGAGCCAUGAAGGGCACUCCAUGACAGACUGCUUUUUGAAGCAGUUGUACCAUUUUACAUUCACAUUAGCAGUAUAACAGUCCCAGUUUCUC